rnacentral:rRNA from 1 species
GAUGAACGCUGGCGGCGUGCCUAAUACAUGCAAGUCGAGCGAACAGACGAGGAGCUUGCUCCUCUGACGUUAGCGGCGGACGGGUGAGUAACACGUGGAUAACCUACCUAUAAGACUGGGAUAACUUCGGGAAACCGGAGCUAAUACCGGAUAACAUGUUGAACCGCAUGGUUCAACAGUGAAAGACGGUCUUGCUGUCACUUAUAGAUGGAUCCGCGCCGCAUUAGCUAGUUGGUAAGGUAACGGCUUACCAAGGCAACGAUGCGUAGCCGACCUGAGAGGGUGAUCGGCCACACUGGAACUGAGACACGGUCCAGACUCCUACGGGAGGCAGCAGUAGGGAAUCUUCCGCAAUGGGCGAAAGCCUGACGGAGCAACGCCGCGUGAGUGAAGAAGGUCUUCGGAUCGUAAAACUCUGUUAUUAGGGAAGAACAAAUGUGUAAGUAACUAUGCACGUCUUGACGGUACCUAAUCAGAAAGCCACGGCUAACUAAGUG